GGCUGCCGAAACAGAACGUGCCAACUUAACCGCUGCACCAGCGGGCUGGCCCCUGCAUGUUUUUUUUUAUUUUUAUAUGUACUAAGUAUUACGUAAAUUUUUUAUCUACUAAGAAUAAGAAAGAAAUAGUUUCUUCCCUCCAGGAGCUCCCAGUCUGCUGCUGAGGUCUGAAUGGAAAUCACAUUCUUCUUCCCUCUGGGUUUCAACCAAUUGAGAAAUUGGCUCAGGGCUAAAAGUAUUGGCUUUAUUGUUGGCAAAGCUGGAUUUGAGAAAGUGGAGGCCAAAUGAUUUUCUCCUCCUUCCUCACCUGAUCCAGGGGGUCAUGUGCAAACUGGAGGUCCCCUGCUGACCUCUCCCCAAGAGGCAGGGCCUACCUGGUGGAGGAGGAGGCAGGAGAGAAACCCCUGAAGGAAAAGGAGGGGGCUGUCCUUCCUGGGGAGUGGAGUGGAAGUCCUCUGGAGGAGGCACACCCAACUACAGGGAUGCAGAGCAGGAGGUGACAGCAGCAAGUGAGCCGUGCCAGGCAGAGUUAUUUGCAGCUAACAGUGUGAUGGAAGGCUUCCUGGUGUAGGCCACAAACAUUUUGCCUCUCUGUGAAAGGUGGUGGGAUCUAGGCCAGUCGGGGGGACAUAGUGAGUUUUAACACAGAGGCUGAAGUGGUGAGACCCGUCAGGGGGCUGAGGUCUGAGUUGGGGCUUCUCUGAGCCCCAUAGGACAGAACUGGCCCUUCUUUGAGUGCAGGGUGUGUCACCUGAAAGCAAGCACAAAAGAGGGGUCACCAGGCUGGGCGAGUGAGGCAGGCUCAGGGGAGGGGCGUGUGUGAGGGAGUGGAGCUGUCUAGGAGCCUGGAAAGCCCCCUCUCCGUCUCCUCCCCAGCUGUGGGAGACUCCUUCCAGCUGCUGAUUCCUGGGCAGGCACAGGGAGACCCAAGGGGCAUGGGGAUUCUGCCCUAAAGCAGGGUCCCUCCCUCACCCUCCAGGGGGCAGGUGACCUGGGCUUGUGACCUGUGGCCUGCCAGGUGCUUGACUUUGGGCAGGGAGCAAGAGCAGUCACAUUCAAUGAAAACCUACCUCCUAUGGGGCAGGGUGUUGCUUUCUAUGUAUCAUGUCCUUUAAUUAUAUUUCAUCCUUGUGACAACUCUCUGAGGUAGGCAGUAAUAUCUCCCAUUCACAGAUGAGGAGUCUGAGGGUCAGGGAGGGUAGAGGACGGCUCCUGUGAUGUUAGAACCCAGUUCUACCUGCCUCUAAAGGUGAUGUCCUUUCCGUUAUACUAUUUAACCCUUCUGGGACUCAGUUUCCCUUCUGUAAAAUGGGAAUAACAUCUAUGUCCCAGAUUUGUCAUGAAAACAACUUGCAAAACCUAGCACAGUGGUUGACUUUCCUCCUUCCCUUCCCUCCAGGUCCCAGGGUCAGGCUGCACGCUGAGGUGGCCCAUGUGCACCUCUCUGGGUUUGGCUGUUUUCACCUACUUUCAGGGCAAGGACCUAUCCAGAGAGGGCAGGACCAUGAGUUACACAGCUCGUUUCACAUCAUUAAUUCUCUCACGUUUCUGAUAGUUGCAUUUUUUUCUUCACUGACGGUGGGAGGAGGCCACCUCCUCCUCUUUCUCCCUCCCGGGGCUCCCUCUCCUAUUUACGCUCAUUCACACCCAAGCUGAGCUCGCACUCUUGACUUGAUUCAAAGCCAGUCGUUUACCACAGGUAGUGACUGUGAGAAACCAGACCCGACCCACAGAGCAAUGAGCCAAGAAGAGAAACCCUCCAAACCCCCAGAAUGGGUCCUAAUGCUGUGCCCACGUCUUCUCAGGUGCUGUGGCUUCGGCUGGGCUACAUAUAACGGGCCAGUGGCCCUUAUUCGCAAGGCUAGUUUAUAGCCUAGCAGUUCAAUUCGGUUUGAUUCUAUUUCACUAGACUUAAUUCCUUUAACAGUUAAGGGCCAUGUGCUGGGCAAGGCUAGUGUGUUUAGACUGCUGAAGCUCAGCUCCUGUGAGAACAACGUUGUUAGGGACAGAAUUCUAGAAAUGGGGUCUAAUUCACAGAUAUUUUAACUGGGACAAGAGAGGAUGAGAGGAAAUGGGAGGCUAUGUGAGUUUCAUUAUGACUGAGGAGUCUAGUUCUCUGCCCGUCAGGCUCAGACCUCUGAGCUUCACCAGGAAAAGAGAGAAUUAACUCAUGUCUCACCCAAACAGGCCAUGCCACAGAGAGCUGCUCCUCCAGUGUAGUCUAGAAAUGUGUGUGUACCGCCGUGGAGCUGGAAAGGAAAACCAAGGGGAAAAAUGCGAAUCAAGGGGGAAAAACAAACAUAGUUAAAGCUGUUCCCUCCAGCAUUCUCUCAACUGGAAAUUUCCAGUUCUGACCUUCUGGUUAGUUUUUAGUACAUUGAAAAUACAUGUUCAUCUAUUUUGAGUGAGCAAUACUGAUCACAAGACAGUACAAGAGAAGUGAAGGAGAUCAAGGUUAGCUGGUAAAAAUAAAAUAAAAUGAGUUAAGCUAGUAAAUUGCCAGAGAAACUAUACAUAUUAGCCAGAACUUAUAAAGAGAGGCAAAACAAGAUUAAAAAAACAAAACAAAACAAAAACCCGAAAAAGCAGAAUUGAAGAAUGUUUACAUUCUCACAACCACAAACAUGAAGUGAAGUGAGCUCAGAACUCAGUGGGAGUUUAGCGAAAUAAGAGUUGAGGCUGAGGCGGAGGCUGCUCCGUGUUCCCUCCUGGUUGCCCUGGCGAUGAAAGACAUCUGCCUUAUAGAAAUGAAAUCACAUUGAGAAGAAACCCACAAGCGCAAGAGAGUUUCUGGGUUUAUAGACUUGCUGUUUCUCCCUCCGACUUUGGGGAGUGUGUAGGAAACAGAUGAGGUAGUUGGGUAUGCCUCUGGCUGCCCCUUUUACUCAUUGGUGCCACUGCCUGGUAGGAAACUUCAGGAACCCAGGACAGGGAAGUGUCAGAAGCUUAACCUCCUGGAGGCCGCCUGAGGGGCUGGGGUCAGAGACUUACACCAGCCUAUCACUCAGGAGGGGUUAGAGAGAGGAGAGCCUGAGUCUACUCGUUAGCUAGCUAAUUAAUUCUUGAGCAUGUCAUGGCGAUGUCACGGAGAAGACAAGGUGAGUGACAUGAGAUCUUGUCUCCAAGGUGAGGGGAGAGCAGAUGCAUAUACACAAUUAGUUGUGAUAUAAGCCCUGUUGAGGGAGAUAAACAAAGCUCUACAGGAAUUCUUUUACUCUUCCAUAUUCUUUUCCUUAUUCAGGCUGUGUUUUUAUAGAAAAAAAACCUUAGCAAAUAUGAAAAUAAGCAGAAGGAAAAAAUUAAAAUCACUCCAUAUUACACCACCCAGAGAGAACUAUCAUUAACAUUUUAGAAUGUAUCUUUUUAAACUUUUUUCUUAUGCAAAUAUAUGCAUGAGUUCAAGACGUUUAUGUGUUCUCUCUCUGUAGAUAUAUAUUUUUCUGAAACAGAUUUAUACUACAGGCAUGUGCUACAUAAUGAUGUUUCAGUCAAUGAUGGACUACAUGUAUGACAGUGGUCCCAUCAGAUUAGUACCUUUUAUCCUAGGUGUGUAGGAGGCUAUACCAUCUAGGUUUGUGUAAGUACACUCUGUGAUGUUCACACAACGACAAAAUCGCCUAACGAUGCAUUUCUCAUAAUGUAUUUGUGUCGUUGAGCAGCACGUGACAGUACAUAUAGGAUUUUACCUUUUGGCAUCUCACAAUACACCAUGAACAUCUUUUCAACUAACACAUAUAUAUUGGCAUCAUUGUAUUUAACAUCUGCAUUGCAUCUAUUACUUGACCUUAAAAUAAUUUAGCCAAACAAGGUGGAGAGAUGGGGGUUCCUGUCCUUCCCCUCAAGUCAGUUGAGAGAGGCUCCAAUGGAAACACUCAAAGAACUUGAUACGUGUUUCUUACAGUUUUAGGCACCAGCGUUGGUGUCAAAUCCUGCCUAAGAAAUCUAAAGGGCCAAUGCAGGCUGGCUGGCUGGCAGCUGAUGGAUGAGAGAGAGGAGACAGGCUGUGCUGGGAUCGGCCUCCAGGCCCAGGAUGGCCAGCUGAGGAUGCACGAGCAUUUCCUGUGGAACACACCCUGGAGAGAAACAAGUCGAUUGGUGAUUACAUCAACAUAAAGGUCACAGCAAUAAAGGAGCUCCAACUUUGAUGCUAAUGAGGACCCAUUGGGAGGCUGAGGAGGGAGCCUUGCUGUAGGAGAUGAAUCUGCUAAUUGCGUUCCUGCUGUUUCUGCACAGAGUGGGCCUGUUCCUGGCUGCACAGGGUCCAGGCUAACAUUUUCUUUCACUGACUCAAACGAGGACAGAUGACGCUGAUGGUUUAUGGCUCCUCCCUCAUUUGUCCCUGGGCUGUGAGGAUCAUUACAUGAUGGACUCUAGGAAAAUAGUCAUUGAGGAAAAAUGGAUGGCAGAGAGAAAAAAAUAGAUCUUCUUAAGCCAGCCGUUGUCAGCUGAAAGCACACCCACCAGCCCCUGAGAGGCUGGCCGGCCAGCGCUUUAGAUAAUCUGGCUUUUCUGGAGGGUGCUGUCACAGGAAGACAGAGGUAACAAAGUUAGGGCUUUUCAGAGUGGAGCGGAAGGGGCUAGGAGUCUGUCUCAAGCCUCCUUCCCCCGAGCUGAGGCUAAAAGUGCCUACGACACCAAAACCCACAGUAGAAGAAACGGCCAUGUUCCCUCUGUAGCCUCCUCUUCCUCUUUUCUGCAUGAAGAACUCCUAGCUAUCCUUCCAAGCCCAACUCGAUGCUAUACUCACCCACCCCCUGAGGAGCAGUUGGGACUCCCUCUGUGCACUCCACAGGGUGUGCCAAGGAUCCACGAGACGUCAGGUGUGGAAGGACAGAAUGCUUAGCACGGCGCCCUUCCUCCCUCCCCUGCGGCAAUGUCCCUGUGAGGGACCCUGGACAUCAUGUGUGUAUGUGAACAGGUACUUUACGCUACAAAGCACCAUAUUAAAAAUACUAUUUAUCUGGCUGGGUUUAGUUAGUUGCCUGUACCUACUCCUGAACUGUGAACUCUUUGAUGACAAGGAUGCUUUAUUUAAAAAAAAACUGCAGCCUCCAUCCCUGGCACAAUGCUGGGUACAAAAGUAGGCACUGCCAGUCAUGCUGGGCUGGGGAACCGCCUUUACACAGGCCCGCAGCCUGGCCAGGAAGGUGGCACCUGGCUCUGCAGAGCAGUGCAGUGGUCAGCUUUCCCGAGCUGAGGCCUCGGGCUGGCUGCUACAUCUUCCUCCCAGAGGCCUGCGAUGCUGUUUGCCUUUGUUUGCUCCCAGUAGCUCUUGCUACCCAUUCUUCCAGACACCUGGCACCUCCCGCCUGCUCACCCAGCGCUUGACCCUGGCCUCUUUCCUCAGCCCCUCCUAAGACUUCCCUGGCAGCUUCUCAAACUGGACCUGUCAUCGCUUCCCCAGCACUGACCACCGCAGGAGUGACUCAGGUUUUGUCUUAUUAAGCCAGGCUUUGGGCUUCACGUGUGGCCCAAAGCUCAAUAAAUUUAGAUCAGAGUUAGAGAGAACAUCAAUGUUGUGAACUGAUGGGCCAGUGGCAGUGGAAAGAGCAUGAGCUGACCUGGGGUCAGAUCUUGGCUCAGCUACGCUUGCUAGCUGGGUGACCAUGACCAGUUGCUGAACUUCUCAGAAUCACACUUUUCUCAUCUGUACAUGGGGAUUAAAACACACGUACACACCCCUGCUAACUCACAGGGUCACUGUGAAGAGUAAACGCCAUGACACAUAUGAAGCCUCUGGCCUCCCGCCUGACACAUGGCAGAUUUUCAGUAAGUAAGAGUUUCCUUCCUUUCCUCUUUUCCACUAAGAACUCUUCCAAGUCUAAAAGUCCAUGAGCCUUUGAAACACAUGUUCCCAUGUUAAACAAUAACUUGGGAAGGUGACCAAGCUGCUAGAAAGUUUAUCUUCCCAGAGGAACAAGGAUCUCAGGCGAUGGAGACAAUGCUGUGUCCCAGGUCACCCUGGAACAGGUUUCUUACUCCCCGUCCGAAGUCCCGCAGAUCAGGAGAGGGUGUUGUCGGUGAUGAGGGUUGGCAAACCACACUUGACAAAGUAAGGAAAGCUGGCUCAGUUCACAGAGAAGCAGCGAGUGAGGGAAAGCCCAGGGAGGCCUGGCAUUGACCCGGGGCUCAGAGGGCGGGCAGGUGAGUCUGUGCACAGCCGGCAGCAAACGGCUCAGCCAGGAAUCCUCUGCGCUCCGUCACGGGGAGGCUGCAGUCUCUACCACAGACUCCCAUGAAAACAGAGCGGAAGAAUGGAGGCCGCACAUGCCCUGGACCUCUUCUUCAGGCAGGUGAAGUGGAUAGAUUUUGGAGGUGCCAACUGACCUGGAAGAGCAGCGGGGAGCCAGCAGAGUCAGCUUGCUGCUGUCCCUGAGAACAGCGGUGCUGAGAGAGGCGCCAGGACCAGCAGCACAGCCUCAGCUGGGUUUGUUACAAUCAGGAACUUCUGAAUCAGGAACGCUGGGGGCAUGACCUAGCUGUCUGUACUCUAAUAAGCUCUCCAGUGAUUUUGAUGCACGCUAAAGUUUGAGAACCACUGACUUAGCAGGAGCUUUUCUUCAUUUACCUGAGAUUUCCUUCCCAUUUUGAAGUGGUGGGAGAUGGCAUGGGAGUGGAACGGUCAUAAUCUUAGAGACAAGAAGAUCUGAGUUCAGAUCCUGGCUCUGCUACUAAGUGGUAGCGUGGCCUUGGACAAAUCCGUCAACCUCUCUGCACCCUGAUUCCCUCAAGUGUGAAACAUCUGCCUUGCAGGAUUAGGUGGUAGAUUUAGAGAGAACGUAUGGAAAGCAUUCAGCAGGGCACCAGUCACGGAGUGGAUGCCUAUCAUCAUCAUCAUCAUCAUCAUCAUCGUCACCAGGACUACAAAGAACACCCCCGGA